rnacentral:tRNA from 1 species
GCGGGCGUGGCGGAAUGGUAGACGCAACGGACUUAAAAUCCGUUGGGGGCAACCCCGUGCCGGUUCGAGUCCGGCCGCCCGCACCA